AUGUGCUAUUUGUUUCCAUUUCUUAGAACCCAGACCCAGAGAAAAAGAAAAUGGAUGCAAGCUUCUUUCAAUAACCAACAAGCAAGAAAUUUUAAGGGGGACUCUCUGAGAGGAAAAAAGAUGAAACAAAAGAAAAAAGAUCAAAACGCAACUAGAAUCUCGCUUACUUUAUUUGAUUUUUUUGCGUUGUUUUUAAUUUUUUAUUUUCUAUUUUCUGUUUUCUUUUUCUUCCUCCAAAAUGAGGAAAUGAAUGAAUUCACCACAAAAGAAAGAACAGGAAGAAAUGACAACCAGGGACUUAACACAUAUAUAAGCAAGAUGUCUGAACUAGUAUUUGAAUCACGAUAAUAAGAAUACUAACUUGGGUUGAGAAAGCAUAGAAUCCUUUUCUAUGGAGGUAAAAGAAGUAAAAUCUAGUCAGGAUGAAAUUAAAAAUGCAUAACUGAGAUGCAAUCUUGAAUGAUUACCACAGUGGCAAGGAUGGAUGAAGCAGAGCAGCAAAUCAGCAAUAUGGAAGACAAAAUUAUGGAGAAUAAUGAAGCAGAAAAAAGAGGGAAACUAAAGCAAAAGAGCACCAUAUAAGAAUUAGAGAACUCAGUGACUCAUUAAAAAAGGAAUAACAUCUGAAUCAUAGGAGUUCCAGAAGAUGAAGAGAGAGAAAAAGGGGCAGAAGGUUUAUGUGAGCAAAUCAUAGCAGAAAAAUUACCUAAUGUGGGGAAAGAUACAGACAUCAAAAUCCAAGAAGCAUAGAGAACUCUCAUUAGAUUCAACAAAAACCGACCAUCAACAAGACAUAUAAUAGUCAAAUUCAGAAAAAACACAGACAAGGAAAGAAUUAUGAAAACGGCAAGGCUGUCAUUCAAAGUAGAAGGAGAAAUAAAAAGUUUCCCAAACAAAAAUUAAAGGAGAUU
ensembl:lncRNA